ACGAACGCUGGCGGCAUGCCUAACACCUGCAAGUCGAACGAGACCUUCGGGUCUAGUGGCGCACGGGUGCGUAACGCGUGGGAACCUGCCCUUAGGUUCGGAAUAAAUCCCCGAAAGGGGUGCGAAUACCGGAUAAUGUCUUCGGGCCAAAGAUUUAUCGCCUUUGGAUGGGCCCGCGUUGGAUUAGCUAGUUGGUAGGGUAAAAGCCUACCAAGGCGACGAUCCAUAGCUGGUCUGAGAGGAUGAUCAGCCACACUGGGACUGAGACACGGCCCAGACUCCUACGGGAGGCAGCAGUGGGGAAUAUUGGACAAUGGGCGAAAGCCUGAUCCAGCAAUGCCGCGUGAGUGAUGAAGGCCUUAGGGUUGUAAAGCUCUUUUACCCGGGAUGAUAAUGACAGUACCGGGAGAAUAAGCUCCGGCUAACUCCGUG
rnacentral:rRNA from 1 species